rnacentral:rRNA from 1 species
GACGAACGCUGGCGGCGUGCCUAAUACAUGCAAGUCGAGCGCAGGAAGCUGACGGAACUCUUCGGAGGGAAGGCAGUGGAAUGAGCGGCGGACGGGUGAGUAACACGUAAGGAACCUGCCUCAAGGAUUGGGAUAACUCCGAGAAAUCGGAGCUAAUACCGGAUAGUUCAACGGACCGCAUGGUCCGCUGAUGAAAGGCGCUUCGGCGUCACCUUGAGAUGGCCUUGCGGUGCAUUAGCUAGUUGGUGGGGUAACGGCCCACCAAGGCGACGAUGGAUGGCCGACCUGAGAGGGUGAUCGGCCACACUGGGACUGGGACACGGCCCAGACUCCUACGGGAGGCAGCAGUAGGGAAUCUUCCACAAUGGACGAAAGUCUGAUGGAGCAACGCCGCGUGAGUGAUGAAGGUUUUCGGAUUGUAAAACUCUGUUGUAAGGGAAGAACACGUACGAGAGGAAAUGCUCGUACCUUGACGGUACCUUACGAGAAAGCCACGGCUAACUACGUGCCAGCCGCCGCAGUAA